GACGAACGCUGGCGGCGUGCUUAACACAUGCAAGUCGAACGAUGAAGCCUUUCGGGGUGGAUUAGUGGCGAACGGGUGAGUAACACGUGGGCAAUCUGCCCUUCACUCUGGGACAAGCCCUGGAAACGGGGUCUAAUACCGGAUAAUACUUUCUCUCUCAUGGGGGAAGGUUAAAAGCUCCGGCGGUGAAGGAUGAGCCCGCGGCCUAUCAGCUAGUUGGUGGGGUAAUGGCCUACCAAGGCGACGACGGGUAGCCGGCCUGAGAGGGCGACCGGCCACACUGGGACUGAGACACGGCCCAGACUCCUACGGGAGGCAGCAGUGGGGAAUAUUGCACAAUGGGCGAAAGCCUGAUGCAGCGACGCCGCGUGAGGGAUGACGGCCUUCGGGUUGUAAACCUCUUUCAGCAGGGAAGAAGCGAAAGUGACGGUACCUGCAGAAGAAGCGCCGGCUAACUACGUGCCAGCCGCCGCGUAAAAC
rnacentral:rRNA from 1 species